rnacentral:lncRNA from 10 species
GAUAAGUAGAAAGGCACACUGUGAAUGUCACGUAAUUAAAUACCUGGCCAAAAUGAGCAAGAGCUACCUUACCCUGAGCCUAGCUAGGUCAGUGUGUGGUGCUCACCUGGAAAGAGGAAUAAGAUCAAGUAGGUGUAAAACCCUCACAUAAGGGGUCUUACUGUGUGGGGUUCAGGGCUAGCCUGCUGACAUAAUAGUGACAUUGGAAAGCAAAGUCCUGCCACGGUCCCUCCAUCAAUAAUGGAAACAUGGAGGCAAGAUCUCCAAAAGCAGGGUACGCUGGAGAGGCAAGGCCCCUACUGGGGCUUGAGAAGGAAGAGAAAGGUGACAGAAUCAGAACAGACCAUGUCGGAGGCUUCACAAUAGCUGGGAGAAGUACAGAAUUUGGGCCUGGGCACAGUGUCUCGUGCCUGUAAUCCUAGCAGUCUGGGAGCCAAGAUGGGAGGAUCACUUGAGCCCAGGAGCUUGCGAUCAGCCUAGGCAACACAGAAAGACCCCAUCUCUACCAAAAAAAAAAAAAAAAAAAAAAAAAGCCGGAUGUGGUGGCGCAUGCCUGUAGUUCCAGCUACUUGGGUGAUUGAGGCGGGAGGAUUGCUUGAGCCCAGGAGGUUGAGGCUGUAGCGAGCCUUGAUUGCGCUGAGACCCUGUCUGGGGAAAAAAAAAAAUUUAGGAGAUGGAGUAUGAAUAAACAAAGCAACAUUCCCUGGUGCCACGCAAGGCUGCCUCCGCAGAGGCAUUCCUGUGCUUAGCUUGGUUCUAAGGCAGCUACACAGUGAAGGAAGCUGAUACUAGGAAGCAGGGAUGCUCCGUCUAGGCACUGGAAAGCCUGAAGUUUCCUAGGCCCCCUAGGGUAGAGUAAGAUGAAUCCAAUGGUCAGAGGG